AGCAGGUCAUAGUGAUCCGGUGGUUCUGAAUGGAAGGGCCAUCGCUCAACGGAUAAAAGGUACUCCGGGGAUAACAGGCUGAUACCGCCCAAGAGUUCAUAUCGACGGCGGUGUUUGGCACCUCGAUGUCGGCUCAUCACAUCCUGGGGCUGAAGUAGGUCCCAAGGGUAUGGCUGUUCGCCAUUUAAAGUGGUACGCGAGCUGGGUUUAGAACGUCGUGAGACAGUUCGGUCCCUAUCUGCCGUGGGCGCUGGAGAACUGAGGGGGGCUGCUCCUAGUACGAGAGGACCGGAGUGGACGCAUCACUGGUGUUCGGGUUGUCAUGCCAAUGGCACUGCCCGGUAGCUAAAUGCGGAAGAGAUAAGUGCUGAAAGCAUCUAAGCACGAAACUUGCCCCGAGAUGAGUUCUCCCUGACUCCUUGAGGGUCCUGAAGGAACGUUGAAGACGACGACGUUGAUAGGCCGGGUGUGUAAGCGCAGCGAUGCGUUGAGCUAACCGGUACUAAUGAACCGUGAGGCUUAACCUU
rnacentral:rRNA from 1 species